rnacentral:rRNA from 1 species
AAUGAACGUUGGCGGCGUGGAUUAGGCAUGCAAGUCGUACGGGUCGGUGUAGCAAUACAACGGCAAGUGGCGAAAGGGAGAGUAACACGUAGAUACCUACCCUCUGGUCGGGGAUACCGCGGCAUAACCGCAAGUAAUACCCGAUAAAAUCUCCGGAUCAAAGGUGUGAUUCCGCCGGAGGAGGGGUCUGCGUUCUAUCAGCUUGUUGGUGAGGUAAUGGCUCGCCAAGGCUAAGACGGAUACGGGGUGUGAGAGCAUGCCCCCGCUCACUGGGACUGAGACACUGCCCAGACACCUACGGGUGGCUGCAGUCGAGAAUCUUCGGCAAUGGGCGCAAGCCUGACCGAGCGACGCCGCGUGCGGGAUGAAGGCCUUCAGGUUGUAAACCGCUGUCGAGGGGAAUGAAGUGUAGGUGGGUACUCCCAUCUAUUUGACAGAUCCCUGGAGGAGGCAUGGGCUAAGUUCGUGCCAGCAGCCGCCGUAAAAC